rnacentral:lncRNA from 1 species
AUUUGUACAUUACUGUUUGAUUAUCUCACAUUCUGGUCCACAACUCAAUCAUCAUAUGUAUUUGUUAUUAUAUCUCCUUAUCAUAAUAUUAUAUGUAACACUACUUCAUUCAUUAAUAUAUUGGAAUUUUGUUUUUAAAAUAAAGUAUCAUUUUUACACUGUACUGACAUGUCCUCCAUUUCUUUAACAGAUUCCUGGACCUAUUUGGAAUCUUGGAUGAAUAUGAAUGAAGAUCUUAAACUUAGUAAAUAUACCGAAUUUAGGAUCUUCAUUCAUAAUUGUCCAGGAUUCCAAAACCUUAAAAUCCUGGAAUCUAGAAUGUUAAAGGUCAAAAGAUUACAGAUAUUUGUGAAAUAGAAAUCAAAUUCUGCACUUAGAGUCCACUUAAAAUGCUUUAAAAUUCUUGAAUAUUGAAUUUACACUUGAUCAGUGAAAAAGAAAUUACAAUGAUUUGGCAAAAUCUUAAAUCUUAGAUUAAAUUAUUAGAAGAAUUUGAAAUUAGAAUAAACAAAGAUAAAAAAGAAAUCUGGAUUUAUGACAUUAAAAAUAAGAAUCCCUUUUAUAGCAUAUGGAAGUUGAAAAGGAAAAUAAGCAAAAAGGAGGGCUAAUGCUCCAAAUUCUAAGAUCAGACAUCCAUUUAAAUUCAGAUAUCAGUGAUACAGGAAAAUUGAUUACAUGGCAAGAAAUGUGAAACUAAAAAUGUAAAUAACUACCAAAAAGUGAAAAAUGCUAUGAAAGUUUAUUUUUUAACUCCUAGAAAAAAUAAAAUAAUUGAAAAGAACACUGCAAUGAAUGUAAAGCUUGAAAAGGAUAAAAUAUGGUGUUUGGAUGACAGUGCAAUAUUACACAUGCGUUUUAAUGAACAAAAAUUCCAAAGUUUAAAAGAAAUAGAUCAAGAAUUAAAUCUGGCAAACAGUAUAAAUCUAAUAAAAUUAAAGGAAAAAGCAUAUUUAAUAUUGUGGCUGAUGAUGGUAAAGGUGGAAAUCAAACAAAUAUGAAUAACAUACUGUUCACUCCAAAUUUAUGUUCAAGCUUAAUUUCCAUUUAUAAAAAGCACUGAAAAAGCUUAUGAAGUUACAUUUAAAUGAGACAAACCAUAGUUUAUAACAAUAUUGUAGAAGUUAUGACAAUUGCUAAAAGAAAAAAUGAAAUGUACUAUGAUGAAGAUCAAACAGAAAACUCUUCUUUCACACAAUUUAGUAAUGAGAAAAUGUCAGAGUUAAAGAAAUGGCAUGAAAGAUUAGACCACUUAAAUAUAAGAAAUUUAAAAGAACUCUGAUGGAAUAAGAGAGUUUAGGACUGAAUUUAAAAGGAUAGAUAGAAUUACGUGAAUACAUAACAAGCAUAAAAGGGAAACAUGUUGAAACUCCAUUUCUUAAAAUAACUUCAAACAAAAGUAAGCUAUUUCACCUCUUGAACUUAUAAAUUCAGACAUUUACAGACCUAUGAGAAUUUUGCCUAUUAGUGAAGCUUAUUAUUUUUUUUGCUUUCAUAAAU